GAGUUUGAUCCUGGCUCAGAACGAACGCUGGCGGCGUGCCUAACACAUGCAAGUCGAACGUGAUCCAGAGCUUGCUCUGGUGAAAGUGGCGCACGGGUGAGUAACGCGUGGAUAACCUACCCUGGUAUCCGGGAUAACAUUCCGAAAGGGGUGCUAAUACCGGAUAAGCCCACGGGCUCUUUGGAGCUUGCGGGAAAAGGUGGCCUCUAUUUAUAAGCUACUGUAUCAGGAUGGGUCCGCGUACCAUUAGCUAGUUGGCGGUGUAACGGACCACCAAGGUGACGAUGGUUAGCUGGUCUGAGAGGAUGAUCAGCCACACUGGAACUGAGACACGGUCCAGACUCCUACGGGAGGCAGCAGUGGGGAAUUUUGCGCAAUGGGGGAAACCCUGACGCAGCAACGCCGCGUGAGUGAUGAAGGCCUUUGGGUCGUAAAGCUCUGUCAGAGGGGAAGAAAUGAUAUAGUGCUAAUACCACUUUAUCUUGACGGUACCCUCAAAGGAAGCACCGGCUAACUCCGUGCCAGCAGCCGCGGUAAUAC
rnacentral:rRNA from 1 species